CACUGGGUAAUGCUCUACUAGUCCUUUCUAGCUCCUCUAACAAUCGUGAUUGUUUUUGUACUUCUCUGUUUAAUUUCUCUCUUCCUGAUCAGAUGGUAAAGUCUCUGAGGGUGGCAAGGGUCAAUGCCUGUCCGGCUCACCAUGACAAGUGCUUCCCUGGUGUGAAGAAGUUAUGCUGGAGAGAGUGACUGGAUGAACAGAAUGAACAGAUGACCCCACCAAGAGCCUAGUCUGCAUCUGUCUGGUGCCCACGUCCUCUCCUCCAAGUCAGAAACAAAUGACAGGCAUUCUGCCUGCGGAUGAGCUGCCCGCCUGCUGGUCAGCCUUUCAGGCUCUGUGCCUGCUGGUUGAGGCCAGAUAGGGGGCGGGGGCCAGGUCUGAGCAGCAACCACAGCAUCAGCAUCUCCAGGAAAGCCUUGAACUCACGGUAACUAAGUGUGUCCACCUCCAAUCCUCCUAUCUCCAUGGAUGACCAGGUCAACUGUGUCAAUUUGUAGAUGCAGACACUAGCAAUAACUAGUAGCAAUCUAGCAGCAAUAACUUGUUCUUAAAUGCUGGGGAGAUAGAAUUCAGGGGGGCCCUGUGAUUCCAGCCAUACCAUAACCCUGUGCAGAAGAGACUCUCUGGGCGCCCUGGGGCCAGGGAGGCACUUGGAUGUCAGACCCAGCAACAUUCUCUAGCCUCAUUUCUCAUUUUUCUCCUCCCCGCCAUCCUCAGAAACCCAGUAGAACUCUCCAUCCCCUCCAACCACAAUGACGCCUUGUCGCUUCCUGGGAUGUGCCGAGCGGCCUCUUUCUCUGAGCCUCUCUGCGUCUUGUCUGGUGGCUGGUAACACUCCCUCAUAUCCACGCUUCUCCAUUCUUCAGGCCUCAGCUCCCACCGGGACUGCCACAGGGAGAUGCCUCUGUUUCACGUUCCUGUUUCUGCCGCUGGGAUCAACACUGGCUGCUGACCUCCCACACCAUGAGGCCUCCUGGACACAACCUGAGUCAUCAGAGGAAAAGGAGAAGCUGUCCAGCAGCAGCCAAGCUUCUGGACCACAUGAGAGAAGCGGGUCCGUUCCAGGGCAGGGAGUCAAGAGCCGGGAUCAGCCACACUAAAGAUGCGCAUAGGACACCCUCAGAAGAUUCAUGGGCAUUUACAAGAAAUGCCACCCACGACUGGCACUUUAACCAGAGAUUAAGGUCUUGGUAAAAUACGUGAAUGCAAAAGGUUUGCAUGAUUAAAAUUUGGCCAGCCAGGACAACAACUCUGGGACACGUGGCUGCAAGUGUGGGGUAAAUUUCUGCUGGAGGCUCAGCACCCAGGACUAAAAGAUCUGGGCGUCUCUGUCUCUCUCAACUCCCCAUGGCUACUCAACUUUUGAAGAUUCAGCUUGAGUCUGAGGAAUCUUUGG
rnacentral:lncRNA from 1 species